rnacentral:rRNA from 1 species
GGAGUGGCGGCGUGCUAAUACAUGCAAGUCGAGCGAACUUAGAAAAGCUUGCUUUUCUAAGUUAGCGGCGGACGGGUGAGUAACACGUGGGCAACCUGCCUACAAGACUGGGAUAACUUCGGGAAACCGGAGCUAAUACCGGAUAAUAUAAAGAACCUCCUGGUUCUUUAUUGAAAGAUGGUUUCGGCUAUCACUUGUAGAUGGGCCCGCGGCGCAUUAGCUAGUUGGUGAGGUAAUGGCUCACCAAGGCGACGAUGCGUAGCCGACCUGAGAGGGUGAUCGGCCACACUGGGACUGAGACACGGCCCAGACUCCUACGGGAGGCAGCAGUAGGGAAUCUUCCACAAUGGACGAAAGUCUGAUGGAGCAACGCCGCGUGAGUGAUGAAGGUUUUCGGAUCGUAAAGCUCUGUUGUUAGGGAAGAACAAGUGCGAGAGUAACUGCUCGCACCUUGACGGUACCUAACCAGAAAGCCACGGCUAACUACGUGCCAGCAGCCGCGGUAAUACGUAGGUGGCAAGCGUUGUCCGGAAUUAUUGGGCGUAAAGCGCGCGCAGGUGGUUUCUUAAGUCUGAUGUGAAAGCCCACGGCUCAACCGUGGAGG